AAUAACACAGAUUAAAAGAUUUCAUCAUUAUACAGAUAUAAAGACUUGCAAAAUGGCUGCGUGAACAGGAGACCAUUUGAAGAAGGAUUUUAUCAUGCUUGUUUCUUCCUCCUCUUAAAGGAGCUACAUUUCAUUUUGCAAGAAAUAAUAAACUCAAAUUCGGCCACUCCGUCUCAACAAGCACUCUCUACCUCCCAGCCUUCAUUUUUAAAACAGGACGCAACUCCAUAAAUGUAUUAUUAUAGAUGACAAGGCCACUCUUCUGACUGACUUCAAACCGACCACGUCUAUGAUUCUUCCUUCUAGCCAAACCUUCCCUCUUCGUCAGGUCAACCAACACCUCAAACCUUCCCUCUUCGUCAGGUCAACCAACUCCUCAAACCUUCCCUCUUAGUCUAGUCAACCAACUCCUCAAACCUUCCCUCUUAG
ensembl:lncRNA